rnacentral:rRNA from 1 species
GAUGAACGCUGGCGGCGUGCCUAAUACAUGCAAGUCGAGCGAACGGACGAGAAGCUUGCUUCUCUGAUGUUAGCGGCGGACGGGGGUGUAACACGUGGAUAACCUACCUAUAAGACUGGGAUAACUUCGGGAAACCGGAGCUAAUACCGGAUAAUAUUUUGAACCGCAUGGUUCAAAAGUGAAAGACGGUCUUGCUGUCACUUAUAGAUGGAUCCGCGCUGCAUUAGCUAGUUGGUAAGGUAACGGCUUACCAAGGCAACGAUGCAUAGCCGACCUGAGAGGGUGAUCGGCCACACUGGAACUGAGACACGGUCCAGACUCCUACGGGAGGCAGCAGUAGGGAAUCUUCCGCAAUGGGCGAAAGCCUGACGGAGCAACGCCGCGUGAGUGAUGAAGGUCUUCGGAUCGUAAAACUCUGUUAUUAGGGAAGAACAUAUGUGUAAGUAACUGUGCACAUCUUGACGGUACCUAAUCAGAAAGCCACGGCUAACUACGUG